GACGAACGCUGGCGGCGUGCUUAACACAUGCAAGUCGAACGAGUGGCGAACGGGUGAGUAACGCGUAAUCAACUGCCCUUCAGAGGGGGAUAACUAUUGGAAACGAUAGCUAAUACCGCAUACUAGUAGAUGGACCUGCGUUGUAUUAGCUAGUAGGUAGGGUAAUGGCCUACCUAGGCAACGAUACAUAGCCGACCUGAGGAGGUGAUCCGCCAAACUGGGAAUGGGACACGGCCCAGACCCCGACGGGGGGGAGGAGUAGGGAAUCUUUGGAAAUGGGGGGAACCCCGACCGAGCAAAGCCGCGGGAGUGAAGAAGGUUUUCGGAGCGUAAAGCUCUGUUGUUAAGGAAGCGGUACUUAACCAGGAAGGGACGGCUAACUACGUGCCAGCAGCCGCGGUAAUAC
rnacentral:rRNA from 1 species